UACGAAGGGGGCUAGCGUUGCUCGGAAUCACUGGGCGUAAAGGGUGCGUAGGCGGGUCUUUAAGUCAGGGGUGAAAUCCUGGAGCUCAACUCCAGAACUGCCUUUGAUACUGAGGAUCUUGAGUUCGGGAGAGGUGAGUGGAACUGCGAGUGUAGAGGUGAAAUUCGUAGAUAUUCGCAAGGACACCAGUGGCGAAGGCGGCUCACUGGCCCGAUACUGACGCUGAGGCGCGAAAGCGUGGGGAGCAAACAGG
rnacentral:rRNA from 1 species